AAUGAACGCUGGCGGCGCGCCUAAUACAUGCAAGUCGAGCGAGAAGACGUAGCAAUACGUUUGUAAAGCGGCGAACGGGUGAGGAAUACAUGGGUAACCUACCCUAGAGUGGGGAAUAACUAGCCGAAAGGUUAGCUAAUACCGCGUACGCUCCUUGGACUUCGGUUCAGGGAGGAAAGCGAUACCGAGGGUAUCGCGCUCUUGGAUGGGCUCAUGUCCUAUCAGCUUGUUGGUGAGGUAACGGCUCACCAAGGCUUCGACGGGUAGCUGGUCUGAGAGGACGAUCAGCCACACUGGCACUGCGACACGGGCCAGACUCCUACGGGAGGCAGCAGUAAGGAAUAUUGCGCAAUGGGCGAAAGCCUGACGCAGCGACGCCGCGUGGGGGAUGAAGGUCUUCGGAUUGUAAACCCCUUU
rnacentral:rRNA from 1 species